rnacentral:rRNA from 1 species
UGGGGAAUAUUGCACAAUAGGCGCAAGCCUGAUGCAGCCAUGCCGCGUGUAUGAAGAAGGCCUUCGGGUUGUAAAGUACUUUCAGCGGGGAGGAAGGGAGUAAAGUUAAUACCUUUGCUCAUUGACGUUACCCGCAGAAGAAGCACCGGCUAACUCCGUGCCAGCAGCCGCGGUAAUACGGAGGGUGCAAGCGUUAAUCGGAAUUACUGGGCGUAAAGCGCACGCAGGCGGUUUGUUAAGUCAGAUGUGAAAUCCCCGGGCUCAACCUGGGAACUGCAUCUGAUACUGGCAAGCUUGAGUCUCGUAGAGGGGGGUAGAAUUCCAGGUGUAGCGGUGAAAUGCGUAGAGAUCUGGAGGAAUACCGGUGGCGAAGGCGGCCCCCUGGACGAAGACUGACGCUCAGGUGCGAAAGCGUAGGGAGCAAACAGG